UCAUCAAUGCAUACAGUGCAGAGUACACAGAGACAACAUGUAAACUCCACACAGAAAUACUUCAGCCGGCUGGUGGAUUUAAACGCCGGACUUCGUUGCAGUGACGUGACAAUGCUAAUGCAAAUGCUACCACUGUGCUACCCUGAUCAUGUGUUGUUUUGCUGCAUUUUCUUAAACGAGUGACACCAUUUUCAGUAACGACAAUUCAGUUUGAUGUGAUGGGUUGUUGACUCAGGUUUAGGGCUGCCAAUACAAAGUAAGAAUGAAGUGAAUGGCAGGAAGUGAUUGCCAACAUGUUAGGAGCUGUGUAUGAAGCCAACUUCUCAUUCUUGAAGACGUAAUUUAAUUUGUGUAAUCUGUCUAAAGAAGAAUUGUUAACCAAGAGCCAAAGGAGUUGGCUCAGUCAUUGGCCAAGAAAUUGCUGAGAGCACCAGGUCAAGCUGGAUUUGGAGCAGGUGGUGGUUGUCAGAAGGACAGUAAAAGGUCUCUAGGCCUGUGUGACUAAGGCCUAGUAUCAGCUUAUUAGCACUAGCUAAGUUUUUCAUUUACAGUGAUAAACGUCUUGUCCUUCACCUCCCAAAUGGCAGAAGACCUACUACUGACCCAUCCAGAUUAAAAAUACAUCUUCUCUCCACAGCACUUGGAUGAGCGAUGCUGCCUCUGCCUCAUCUUUGACUGGCAGAAUAAACACUGUUACCACAACAGCCAUGCUGGGAGACAAACUACAAGUAACAACAGAGCGAUGAUGUUAGAAACAGUCAAGUGGAGCAACCGGCUUCGUCACCAUCUGGUCCCCAGAAGAAGGAGGCACAGCAGUGGUCGCACGAUAUACGCCCACUCACAAGCCCACACACACAUACACACACACACACACGCACACACACACACAAACUUUACUCCAAGGCCAAAGCCAAGAUCUUGCUGCAGCACCUACUUGAACACACACACGCCAACACACAUGCUGGCACCAAUAGGAGCAUUCACACGCACACAGAGACAGGCAGGCUUUUCCACCCACAGUUUUUCCAAGGUGCAGUCCAUCUGCUCUCUCCAUAGAUUUAGAUGGCAGAGUCCAAUAUGUGAUACAACUUACCAGCUUGGUGUAUAUUACAGCCCCACCAGGCCCAGGUGUCUGAGGUAGGUAUUAACCACUAGAGCCUGACUGAUACAUCAUAAUGGCUGAUAGAAUCAUCCGGUUGCAUAUUAUUUUGAUAUUAGCAAUACAGAAAAGAUUUGCUUGAAUUAUUUUAGAAACAAUUUGCCAUUAAAAUAACUGUCCACAAGGGAGCACUGGAAGGCUAAUUUUUAUUCCACAAAU